UGCGAGGUGGUGUAAUAGCACAUAAAUUUUUGAUAUUUAAAGAAAACGAAGUUUUCUCGCAG
rnacentral:tRNA from 1 species